GGAGCAUUGUUGCACCGCCGGGAUAUAAAGUAGCUUUAGAAAUAGAAAAAUUUGAACCACUUUGGAGGUCCUAUUCUCAAUGCCAUCUUGCCAACUUAACGUUUUGGGAUCGUCGCUUAGACGGUGGCUAUCCAGUUUAUUGCGAGCCGCAAAGCGACAGACGUCCGAGAAAGAUAGUCUCGUUGUCUAGGACUCUCAAUUUUACAUACUUUCGAACACAAUUUCGUCGCGGAGGACAGGGAUUUCGUAUCAAAUAUCACACAUUUGAAGACAAAUGUUUAACGGAAUGCAAACUCCUUCCCUGGUACCGCCGUUGUUGUCACGGGUACACGAUUGCAACGUCAGGAGUGCUGCGUCAAGGCUCUGUUGUGAGUGAAUGUAAUGUUAAUGUCAAUGCCAAAGGAAAUCGUUCAAGUUAGUGCUCAGCUCUUUA